AUUGAACGCUGGCGGCAUGCCUUACACAUGCAAGUCGAACGGCAGCACGGGAGCAAUCCUGGUGGCGAGUGGCGAACGGGUGAGUAAUAUAUCGGAACGUGCCCAGUAGUGGGGGAUAACUGCUCGAAAGAGCAGCUAAUACCGCAUACGACCUGAGUGUGAAAGGGGGGGAUCGCAAGACCUCUCGCUAUUGGAGCGGCCGAUAUAAGAUUAGCUAGUUGGUGGGGUAAAGGCCUACCAAGGAAACGAUCUGUAGUUGGUCUGAGAGGACGACCAGCCACACUGGGACUGAGACACGGCCCAGACUCCUACGGGAGGCAGCAGUGGGGAAUUUUGGACAAUGGGCGCAAGCCUGAUCCAGCAAUGCCGCGUGCAGGAAGAAGGCCUUCGGGUUGUAAACUGCUUUUGUCAGGGAAGAAAUCCUCUAGGUUAAUACCCUUGGGGGGAUGACGGUACCUGAAGAAGAAGCCCCGGCUAACUUCGUGCCAGCCGCCGCAGUAAGAC
rnacentral:rRNA from 1 species